rnacentral:lncRNA from 1 species
AGAGGGUCAUGUCUUAUAGUAGAUUCUCUCCUUGUGGUGAACUAGCAUGUUAAAAAAGUACCUCAGUGCAUUAUUGGUCUAGUUCUGUACAAAAUAGGUUAAUUACAUUGUAUUUAUAUCUGAGUAUCAUGUCCUCUUCCUGCACUCAACUUGCCACUGGAUCACAUAACAUCCAUCCAACCAUCCAUCUUCUCAAAAGUAAUAUACCGAGUUCCAAUGUUCAAUUCUUGUUCAAUAUGUUCUGAUUUGACUCAAGCAAGAUACAAAUACAUGUAAUAUGGUAUUGUCAAAUAGAAAUAUUAAUAAGAUCUUAAAAAACAUAAACCUUAUAAAAUAACCACACAAGAUGCAAUUCUGACAAUAAAUAUGACAUAAAGCCAGAAUAUUAAAAAAAAAGCUAAGUAACUGUUGAAGAGCUGGAACUAAAGCAAAACCAAAUCAGGACAAAAUUAAAUCAAAGAAAUAAAAAAAAAAAAAAACAUAACGAAAACAACAACAUGUCACGAUAUAGAAAAUGAAUGGAAAUGUGGUAAGUGUCCAAAGAGAACAAUUAACUCACCCCAAAUAUACAAAACAACCUAAGACCUUUUAAAUAGGCAUCACGGUAUGCAUUCAAAUGUAAACAUUGUAACUAAUUUUAAGGUAAAUAAACUAAAUUUUACCUGAAAUAGAAACAAAUAAAAACCUUUAAAAAAAUGCACAUUUACGUAAUUAAAAAGAGGAC